rnacentral:rRNA from 1 species
GGUGAACGCUGGCGGCGUGCCUAAUACAUGCAAGUCGAGCGGGGGAAGGUAGCUUGCUACCGGACCUAGCGGCGGACGGGUGAGUAAUGCUUAGGAAUCUGCCUAUUAGUGGGGGACAACAUCUCGAAAGGGAUGCUAAUACCGCAUACGUCCUACGGGAGAAAGCAGGGGAUCUUCGGACCUUGCGCUAAUAGAUGAGCCUAAGUCGGAUUAGCUAGUUGGUGGGGUAAAGGCCUACCAAGGCGACGAUCUGUAGCGGGUCUGAGAGGAUGAUCCGCCACACUGGGACUGAGACACGGCCCAGACUCCUACGGGAGGCAGCAGUGGGGAAUAUUGGACAAUGGGGGGAACCCUGAUCCAGCCAUGCCGCGUGUGUGAAGAAGGCCUUAUGGUUGUAAAGCACUUUAAGCGAGGAGGAGGCUACUUUAGUUAAUACCUAGAGAUAGUGGACGUUACUCGCAGAAUAAGCACCGGCUAACUCUGUGCCAGCCGCCGCCGUAA